rnacentral:misc_RNA from 1 species
GAGGAUCAUUACCGAAUUGUCGACACGAGUUGUUGCUGGUCCUCAAACGGGGGCAUGUGCACGCUCUGUUUACACAUCCACUCACACCUGUGCACCUUCUGUAGUUCUGUGGCAUGGGGGGCUCUGUCCUCCUGCUGUGGUCCUACGUCUUUACACACGCCCUGUAACAAAGUCUCAUGGAAUGCAUGACGCGUUUAACGCAAUACAAUACAACUUUCAGCAACGGAUCUCUUGGCUCUC